UAUUGCACAAUGGGCGCAAGCCUGAUGCAGCCAUGCCGCGUGUAUGAAGAAGGCCUUCGGGUUGUAAAGUACUUUCAGCGGGGAGGAAGGGAGUGAGGUUAAUAACCUUAUUCAUUGACGUUACCCGCAGAAGAAGCACCGGCUAACUCCGUGCCAGCAGCCGCGGUAAUACGGAGGGUGCAAGCGUUAAUCGGAAUUACUGGGCGUAAAGCGCACGCAGGCGGUCUGUCAAGUCGGAUGUGAAAGCCCCGGGCUCAACCUGGGAACUGCAUUCGAAACUGGCAGGCUGGAGUCUUGUAGAGGGGGGUAGAAUUCCAGGUGUGGCGGUGAAAUGCGUAGAGAUCUGGAGGAAUACCGGUGGCGAAGGCGGCCCCCUGGACAAAGACUGACGCUCAGGUGCGAAAGCGUGGGGAGCAAACAGG
rnacentral:rRNA from 1 species